rnacentral:lncRNA from 1 species
AGAAUCUUAACAAAAAAUUACCACUUGUUUUCGUUUGAUAAUUGGUAUGACCAUAAAUAAGUUAGAGACAAUUUCGUGUUUUUAUUUUUUUCAUUUUUCUUUUAUUUUUAUUUUUUCUCUCUACAAUAAUUAUAUUCAAAAUCAUCCAUAAAUCACCCAUCCAAAUGAUUUAUUUCAAAAAUAGCAAGCGUCAUCCAAAUCUC